CUUUUUCGAUUCAACUCAGCAUGUCGAGUCGCGCGCGAUUUGUGUCGGCAACCUUUUCGUUCAAUUGCUGUUGACGUUUUGAUUUCUGCGUUCAUUGAAUUUCAAUAUCUGUCAGUGGUGAUGCAAAACAGUGUUUACAAUAUUGGCGCAUCUGUUUCUAUGAACGAACGAGAUGAAAUGCCAUCAAUAUGCAAGUUCUCUUGAUAUACCGUCCGGGAAGAGUGCUGAAUUGGUCAAGGAUGCGUAUAAUAUUGGAGAUUGAGCAAGAAGCACAGAAUCCGCUGGAUGUGUUUUUUCCAAGUUAACAGCAAUUGUUGCUGUCUGUUGUUAUCAGCGAGCCGAAAUAAGUAUGUUAGAUAGCCUAAGAUUAGAUAAUUCUGGACAUGAUUUCCCGGGAAACCGUUAUCAUCCCUGAUUCUCGAUUGUACCAUGUGCGAAGGUGCGGUCUGCGAAUAUGUGACCCCUGGGAGAAUUUUUCAUAUUUAGCGUUAGUGUAUACAUAAAUCAUUCUUUAGAAGAAUUGUUGAAAAUUUUUCUGUUUUCUUUAUAUAAUUCUUUUCGGCUGUAUUCUUAUUUCAAUGAUUUUUUUAUGUUUGUAAAUAUUGUUUGCUGGUUUGUGGUAUUACUCCAACGAAAAAUAAAUAUAUACAUCCAUUUUUUAGAAA